rnacentral:tRNA from 1 species
UAGCUUUUCGCGCCGUCCCGGACGGGCGGCGGGUUGCGGCCGCGCGACGCCGGGUGUCAGGUUCCGACCCCUGAAAGGCCGG